UAUCCCCCUGUGUGCCUUCCCACGACUUACUACGCACUCCUACGGGAGGCAGCAGUGGGGAAUAUUGCACAAUGGGCGCAAGCCUGAUGCAGCCAUGCCGCGUGUAUGAAGAAGGCCUUCGGGUGUAAAGUACUUUCAGCAGUGAGGAAGGUGGGUAUGUUAAUAGCAUACUCAUUUGACGUUAGCUGCAGAAGAAGCACCGGCUAACUCCGUGCCAGCAGCCGCGGUAAUACGGAGGGUGCGAGCGUUAAUCGGAAUUACUGGGCGUAAAGCGCAUGCAGGUGGUUUGUUAAGUCAGAUGUGAAAGCCCGGGGCUCAACCUCGGAAUUGCAUUUGAAACUGGCAAACUAGAGUACUGUAGAGGGGGUAGAAUUUCAGGUGUAGCGGUGAAAUGCGUAGAGAUCUGAAGGAAUACCGGUGGCGAAGGCGGCCCCCUGGACAGAUACUGACACUCAGAUGCGAAAGCGUGGGGAGCAAACAGGAUUAGAUACCCUGGUAG
rnacentral:rRNA from 1 species